GGAGGGGUGUCCGAGCGGUUGAAGGAGGCAGUCUUGAAAACUGUUGGGUUCAUUUACGGGCCCCGUGGGUUCGAAUCCCACUCCCUCCG
rfam:Desulfotomaculum sp. 46_296 MPI_scaffold_290, whole genome shotgun sequence.